rnacentral:rRNA from 1 species
GGCCUAACACAUGCAAGUCGAGCGGUAGAGAGAAGCUUGCUUCUCUUGAGAGCGGCGGACGGGUGAGUAAUGCCUAGGAAUCUGCCUGGUAGUGGGGGAUAACGCUCGGAAACGGACGCUAAUACCGCAUACGUCCUACGGGAGAAAGCAGGGGACCUUCGGGCCUUGCGCUAUCAGAUGAGCCUAGGUCGGAUUAGCUAGUUGGUGAGGUAAUGGCUCACCAAGGCGACGAUCCGUAACUGGUCUGAGAGGAUGAUCAGUCACACUGGAACUGAGACACGGUCCAGACUCCUACGGGAGGCAGCAGUGGGGAAUAUUGGACAAUGGGCGAAAGCCUGAUCCAGCCAUGCCGCGUGUGUGAAGAAGGUCUUCGGAUUGUAAAGCACUUUAAGUUGGGAGGAAGGGCAUUAACCUAAUACGUUAGUGUUUUGACGUUACCGACAGAAUAAG